rnacentral:tRNA from 1 species
GCCACGGUGGUCUAGCGGUUAGAACGCUGGCCUUGUAAUCCUAUGGUCUCGGGUUCGAUUCCCGGCGGUGCCU